rnacentral:misc_RNA from 1 species
AGGUGAACCUGCGGAAGGAUCAUUACCGAUUUUUAGCGGACCUGAUCUUUGGUCAUGGUCUCGCGAAAACUUGUAUUUAAAACCCCACUCUUAUAAAUUGAAUCAUUUUAUAUGUAUAUAAUAAAUAAAGAUCACUUUCAACAACGGAUCUCUUGGCUCUCG